ACCGUCAGUCAGUCUGUCAGUCAGUCUGUCAUCUCUCCAAUAGCCUCAGUCCAGUGGUUUCCUGGUCCACCUUGUGCUGAGAAUCACCAAUCCAGUAUGUUCUGGCGAGCAACAGACAGGCUAUUCCUCGUUGUAGCAGUCAAAGAUAUUCUUCUUUUCUGUAGACAGUUCUUGGGUUUCAUUCAAAAAGGGGAUGUUGUGGUCAGCCAGCCAUAACAAGUGACCAAGUUUUUGAGUUAGGUACACUAAGAAGGACAGGAGCGUAAGGUAGGAUUGUCCUCUUCACAAUGGACAUAGGCUUUUCCUCUGGGAAUGUAUUGGCUGGUUGGCAGGUUGAGUCGGGUUCUGUGGAGGGUUUCCCCUAUAUGUGGAUGCAGCAGGAGUCCAGCUAUUUUGUUGAUUGGUGUUGAGGAUAACCUUGUACAGGAAGUGUCAAAGGGAUCCUCGUUUAUUUCCGUCUCGUCUAAUGACCUUCCAGUCCUGCUCUUCGCUCUCUCGCGUUCCUCCUCGCAUCACAGGCUGUCACCAUCCGUCUCCCUCUCUCUUUCUGUCGCGCGCUGCUUGUUCAUUGGUCAAUGCCUCAGAGCUGACGCAUGCUGCACUAGUUCUCCCUCUCUCGCUCAGUCGUUCUAUUUCCACAGCAUCCCUAUGUCCGGCUUACCUUAUUGCCUCAUCUUCAAAAUAAAUACAGGAAGGAGGCAUUGAAAAACAAGAGGAUGUAGAACGCGUCUUUCACCCGAGUCCCAAGGGCUGUUUUUCAUUUUGUAUGCAUCUCCAUCCUCCUAGUUUUUGAACAGCUGUCCACUCUGACCAGCAGCUUAGCACUGAGGAGAGGGAGAGAGAAACUGGCUGGUCGACGAUUUGAUGAGUUGCCACGGCGAGAGUGGACCCCCCCCUCCCCGGUCGUCGCCACGGGGAUCUACAGUCAGCGGUGGUCCUGAGAGGAGCGGCCAAUGAGGUGGCAGGAGGCCGACAGGGAGGCAGGAAUUAAUGAGGAGCAAUAAUCCUGCCAUAUAGGAGGGAGAAAAACACGGCCACGCUGGGCGGUGUGCGUGUGUGUGUAGAAAGCACUACUCUGCUAUGGGAGGGGAGGGGGAGAUGCCCCCCCCCCGCAUCUGGAGGCUAGCUGAGCUGACAUCUGGAUGAAAGGGGGGAGUAGAGAGAGAGAACGAACGAAUAAAAUGACAGAACAAGAGAGGCAGAAACGGUUUAAUCUGCCGGCCUCCUGAUUCUCUCUCCACAAUCUAACCCUGACAAUAGAGUCAUGGUCUCGAUGGAACUGACCAAGGCAUUAGCACUUGAUCUCAAUAACUAGCUAGCUAGCACUGUGGUUGUUAACUCUCUCUUAAUGGUUUUGGCCGGUCUAGUGCAGUCCCAUUCCUGGGGCCUGUUAUUCGCAGCCCGCUGAUCAGGCUUAAUGCUCUCAUCCCUUCUCCACCUCCGCUGCUAAAUCUGUUCCCUCCUGGCCCUGCACAGCGGGCACAGACCAACACGGACGUACACACACAGUCACCUACAUGGAAGUGUCCACUGCUCCUUUAACCUUUGACUUAUUAUUGCKGUUGCGUUUUCUUGUGAUACAAAUAAAAUCAAAUUCUUGGGCAAAUGA